UACGUGAGGGGCGAACGUUGUUCGGUGUCACUGGGCUUAAAGGGUGCGUAGAUGGUUGUGUAAGUAACGUGUGAAAUCCCUCGGCUUACCCGGGGAAUUGCAUGUUAUACUGCAUGACUUGAGGUCUAAAGGGGAAAAGGGAACUCCAGGUGUAGCGGUGAAAUGCGCAGAUAUCUGGGGGAAGGCCGGCGGCGAAGGCGCUUUUCUGGUUAGAUCCUGACACUGAGGCACGAAAGCGUGGGGAGCAAACAGG
rnacentral:rRNA from 1 species